AACCUUCCUAGUACAUGACAGUCGCAACGCUUUGUGGUUCAACUGAUUUGAAGAGCUUGCUCAGAUAUGACGAUGGACAUUGCAAAGAGUGGCGAACGGGUGAGUAACACGUGGGAAACCUACCUCUUAGCAGGGGAUAACAUUUGGAAACAGAUGCUAAUACCGUAUAACAAUGACAACCGCAUGGUUGUUAUUUAAAAGAUGGUUCUGCUAUCACUAAGAGAUGGUCCCGCGGUGCAUUAGCUAGUUGGUAAGGUAAUGGCUUACCAAGGCGAUGAUGCAUAGCCGAGUUGAGAGACUGAUCGGCCACAAUGGGACUGAGACACGGCCCAUACUCCUACGGGAGGCAGCAGUAGGGAAUCUUCCACAAUGGGCGAAAGCCUGAUGGAGCAACGCCGCGUGUGUGAUGAAGGGUUUCGGCUCGUAAAACACUGUUGUAAGAGAAGAAUGACAUUGAGAGUAACUGUUCAAUGUGUGACGGUAUCUUACCAGAAAGGAACGGCUAAAUACGUGCCAGCAGCCGCGGUAAUACGUAUGUUCCAAGCGUUAUCCGGAUUUAUUGGGCGUAAAGCGAGCGCAGACGGUUAUUUAAGUCUGAAGUGAAAGCCCUCAGCUCAACUGAGGAAUUGCUUUGGAAACUGGAUGACUUGAGUGCAGUAGAGGAAAGUGGAACUCCAUGUGUAGCGGUGAAAUGCGUAGAUAUAUGGAAGAACACCAGUGGCGAAGGCGGCUUUCUGGACUGUAACUGACGUUGAGGCUCGAAAGUGUGGGUAGCAAACAGGAUUAGAUACCCUGGUAGUCCACACCGUAAACGAUGAGUGCUAGGUGUUUGAGGGUUUCCGCCCUUAAGUGCCGCAGCUAACGCAUUAAGCACUCCGCCUGGGGAGUACGACCGCAAGGUUGAAACUCAAAGGAAUUGACGGGGACCCGCACAAGCGGUGGAGCAUGUGGUUUAAUUCGAAGCAACGCGAAGAACCUUACCAGGUCUUGACAUCCCUUGACAACUCCAGAGAUGGAGCGUUCCCUUCGGGGACAAGGUGACAGGUGGUGCAUGGUUGUCGUCAGCUCGUGUCGUGAGAUGUUGGGUUAAGUCCCGCAACGAGCGCAACCCUUAUUACUAGUUGCCAGCAUUCAGUUGGGCACUCUAGUGAGACUGCCGGUGACAAACCGGAGGAAGGUGGGGAUGACGUCAAAUCAUCAUGCCCCUUAUGACCUGGGCUACACACGUGCUACAAUGGCGUAUACAACGAGUUGCCAACCCGCGAGGGUGAGCUAAUCUCUUAAAGUACGUCUCAGUUCGGAUUGUAGGCUGCAACUCGCCUACAUGAAGUCGGAAUCGCUAGUAAUCGCGGAUCAGCACGCCGCGGUGAAUACGUUCCCGGGUCUUGUACACACCGCCCGUCACACCAUGAGAGUUUGUAACACCCAAAGCCGGUGGGGUAACCUUCGGGAGCCAACCGUGCUAACGGAGUCCACUCCG
rnacentral:rRNA from 1 species